GCUACUUAGGUACCCAACUCCUUUGUANGGGUCCUUUUUGGGUUAGGUAUUUAAAAUUGUUUUGCAACCCAAACAUAUUUUCCACUAGAAACACCAUAAUGUUUAAUUCUGCAUUUGUUUGAGGUAUGGCCUUUUCUCAUGCAAUAAAAACAAGAUACAACAUUAGUGUUUCUGUUAAUUGUUCCUUUUUCUACCCAUGUUCUACGAGUUCUAUAAUUAUAUUUAUUGUUAGGAACAAAUUUCUUUUUAACAACCUUUCUUUCAAAAUUUUUACUACAUUCUCCUGUGGUUGUAUUUUCU
rnacentral:lncRNA from 1 species